rnacentral:sRNA from 1 species
CUAAGGUUCGAUUCGAGCGUCAGCGAGAAAGCGUUGCCGCAGGCAACGACCCGAAGGGCGAAGCGCGCAGCGCUGAG